rnacentral:rRNA from 1 species
UACGUAGGGUGCGAGCGUUAUUCGGAAUUACUGGGCGUAAAGGGUGCGCAGGCGGCCGCGCAAGUCGAGUGUGAAAGCCCCGAGCUUAACUUGGGAAUUGCGCUCGAAACUACGUGGCUGGAGUGUGGCAGAGGAAGGUGGAAUUCCACGUGUAGCGGUGAAAUGCGUAGAGAUGUGGAGGAACACCAAUGGCGAAGGCAGCCUUCUGGGCCAACACUGACGCUCAUGCACGAAAGCGUGGGGAGCAAACAGG